rnacentral:rRNA from 1 species
GACUACCGGGGUAUCUAAGCCUGUUUGCUCCCCACGCUUUCGCUUCUCAGCGUCAGGAAAGGUCCAGAGAACCGCCUUCGCCACCGGUGUUCCUCCUGAUAUCUGCGCAUUCCACCGCUCCACCAGGAAUUCCGUUCUCCCCUACCUUCCUCUAGUCUACCCGUAUCAGAAGCAGGCUCAGGGUUAAGCCCUGAGUUUUCACUUCUGACGCAAUAGACCGCCUACAAGCUCUUUACGCCCAAUAAUUCCGGACAACGCUCGCACCCUACGUAUCACCGCGGCUGCUGGCACGUAGUUGGCCGGUGCUUCUUCUGCAGGUACCGUCACUUUCGCUUCGUCCCUGCUGAAAGCGGUUUACAACCCGAAGGCCGUCAUCCCGCACGCGGCGUUGCUGCAUCAGGCUUUCGCCCAUUGUGCAAUAUUCCCCACUGCAGCCCCCCGUAGG